UUCCAGCUGGACAGCCUCCAGGGCGCUGGGGUCAUAGCCCUCUACAGGGCACACGAAGUUAGUCCUGAUGCCACACAGAGGGAGACCCAGCUGAGACCCCAACUUUAAAUUAUGAGUGGAGGACAAGGCUUCGUAGGGUGCAAUGACUGGGACUCACCAGCUCCUGAGGGCCUGGUCCAUUAUCAUCUUGAUGCAGAUGUCCCCCAAGGGCUUCCUGCCCAGGUGCUCAUCAGUCCCCAUACCCUAGUUCACUUGAGUCUUAGGAUAAAGACCUGAAUCUCCACUCUGAUGAGCCCCAAGUGCUCUGACCUCGGCUCUCGCCCCUUUGCCUUGCCCCUGUGGAUCCUUGCAUGGGCCCUUCCUCUAAGGCCCCCACCCCCACUCUGCUGGUUGGUCCUGUCUGCAGUGCUGAGUCCACACCGCCCUCCUCUUCCCCUAGUUCCCAGCUUCCCGACAGCUCUGCAUAACUGAACGCUGGACUUGGGAAAAACUGGGCAUCACUGAAGGCUUCUGAAUGUGCAAUGGCUAAAAACUGACUCAAAACAAUGUGCGGUGAAUCUGAGGUGUUUCUGGGAGUGCAUGCUAGUGUUGCGUCACAUGACCUCAUUGCAGCCUCAGCUCCAAACACAACGUGCACUCUGCAUUCUGCAUGCUGUCAAGCCGCACAACACAAACCAACCCUGCCUGCAACACCUCAGCUCAGAUCCAAGGUUGUCUUAUAAUUUGCAGUUUUAACUCUUCAUACAAAGCGCCCUGCUCUAACAGAAGCAUAUCUGUUUAAUUAGAGAAAAUUUUAAAAAAUAAAAAUUUUCUAUUGUCAUUGCU